UGGGGAAUAUUGGACAAUGGGGGCAACCCUGAUCCAGCAAUACCGCGUGUGUGAAGAAGGCCUGAGGGUUGUAAAGCACUUUUAGAGGGAAAGAAAUCUUCCAAGUUAAUACCUUGGAGGCUUGACGUUACCCUAAGAAAAAGCACCGGCUAACUCUGUGCCAGCAGCCGCGGUAAUACAGAGGGUGCAAGCGUUAAUCGGAAUUACUGGGCGUAAAGAGCACGUAGGUGGUCGUGUAAGUCAGAUGUGAAAUCCCCGGGCUUAACCUGGGAACUGCAUUUGAAACUACACGACUAGAGUAGGAUAGAGGAAAGUGGAAUUUCAGGUGUAGCGGUGAAAUGCGUAGAGAUCUGAAGGAACACCAGUGGCGAAGGCGACUUUCUGGAUUCAUACUGACACUGAGGUGCGAAAGCGUGGGGAGCAAACA
rnacentral:rRNA from 1 species